rnacentral:piRNA from 1 species
UGGAAAUGAGUAGUCAAGGAAGAGGG